GCCCGCGUAGCUCAAUGGCUAGAGCGUGUGACUUUUAUUAGUAGAAAAUAAAUCCCAAGGCUGUGGGUUCGAGUCCCACCGUGGGCG